rnacentral:rRNA from 1 species
GUCGAACGAGCUAGAGAGCUUGCUUUUUAACUUAGUGGCGAACGGGUGAGUAACGCGUGAGUACCUGCCCUAGAGUGGGGGACAACAGUUGGAAACGACUGCUAAUACCGCAUAAGACCGCAUGGUAAAAGAUUUAUCGCUUUAGGAUGGACUCGCGUCCAAUUAGCUAGUUGGUGAGGUAACGGCCCACCAAGGCACGAUUGGUAGCCGGACUGAGAGGUUGAACGGCCACAUUGGGACUGAGACACGGCCCAGACUCCUACGGGAGGCAGCAGUGGGGGAUAUUGCACAAUGGGGGAAACCCUGAUGCGGCGACGCCGCGUGGAGGAAGAAGGUUUUCGGAUUGUAAACUCCUGUCGUUAGGGACGAUAAGACGGUACCUAACAAGAAAGCACCGGCUAACUACGUGCCAGCAGCCGCGGUAAAACGUAGGGUGCAAGCGUUGUCCGGAAUUACUGGGUGUAAAGGGAGCGCAGGCGGGAAGCAAGUUGGAAGUGAAAACCAUGGGCUCAACCCAUGAAUUGCUUUCAAAACUGUUUUUCUUGAGUAG